rnacentral:lncRNA from 10 species
CAUGUAAGAUAUGACUGUGCUCCUCCUUCACCUUCUGCCAUGAUUGUGAGGCCUCCACAGCCAUGUGGAACUCCAUGAGUAUGACUAUGUGCUGAGUCCUGUGAGUCCUCCUACUGAAUCAUCAAAGCCAGGGGGGAAGCUGUUUUUCCCUCUUUGGGGUCUCAGAGAGAUUGGUGGCAAGGACUCCUGGGAAGAGAAAAGCUGAAGGACACUCUGGCAAGAGGUACCACCUCUCACUGGCUGCCCAAGCAAGAUUCUAUGGCUUGGAAUAAUUCUCAGCGACUCACUCAUCAAAGGGCAUCUAUCUAGAAGCCCUGCUCCUUCAGGGACAUCUGAGGUUGAUGAGCUGAUCCAAUAAGCCAUCAGAGCUGGAAUAGUAGUAGUUAACAAUGGCUCUCUGCACUCUUUUUAAAUAACUUUGCUUUUCAGGCCAAGGUGAGAGCCUCGUGGGAAUUUCACAAAUUUUAUAGAAGCAGAGGAGUGCUAUUUGAGCAAGGGGCGGAUAACACCUACAAUCCACUCAGGAUUUCCAAGCAUAGCCGGAUGCAGAAGUACUCAUACUUCACUACAGAAUCACCUGGGGAGCUUUUAACCUUCUGAUUCUAGUGUUUCCCUCUGGCAGAUGGAGACAGAAACUUGACUGGGCUCAGGAAUAUGUGUUUUUAAAAUUCUCCAGAAGAUUUUAAUGCAGUACAAGUAAGAAGACAGGACUGCAAUUCACAAGAACAGUAUAUCCUGGUGAUUCCUCAGAACAGAACAGACUCAAAAAAAAAAAAAA